CGGGCACCGCUGCCAGCAGCCGGCCCGGGGAAUUUGGGGUUUCCCCGAAUGCCGGAGCGGGCCGAGGAAGCGAGGACGCGGUGCCCGGCCGCGGAGCAGCCCGGCGGGUGCUCGCUUCACCUUCACGGGGCACACCGGGGAGAUGUAGCGGGGCUGACGGAGUGAAGGGCUCGUCAAAAGGACCCACGAUACCGGCGGAGUGGAGAGAGAGAAUCGGGGCAGCACAUGGGAUGGGCAGGAAGGAAGUUUCCGUAUUGGCCAGGCAGGCGUGAGAAGAGAGAGGAAGCAACAAAUUUCCCGGCUUAUUUCGUGUGGGGAUGACGACCAAAUCCUAAACCCUUUUCUCCGGGAAAAGCCUGUUGAAUUUCGGUGUUUCUUCAUAGCCUGGGCUGUGGUUUGGGACUUAGGCACAGGUUGCAAUCCCUCCCAGUUGCAGCGGGCAACAAAUACCUCUGUUUGUUCCUGCUUUGUGAAGAAUGUUUGCUGACCAGAAAAAUGCAAGGGUUGCUGCUUGUUUUGACCUUUUCUUUGGGGCAUGCUUCCUGCUUUUGAGAGUUCUGAAGUCACAAGCUACCUGGUUGUGUCUUUGCAGGAGGCCAGGUUUAAUUGGCAGGAGAAAGUGUGACUUUGUAGCAUGACAGUUCUUUUUUGCUGUCUCCUUGCCAGUGUCCCAUAGCUCUGCAGGUUGCACUUAAUAUUGGAAAGGUUACCCUGAUGCCUGGAAGAUGGUGAGUGCAUGGUGAUUCCUUCCUGGGAAGAUCUUGUUCCAGGGACAUGGGAUACCAGGAUGCCCUGAACCACAUACGGUGGCUGAAAUAUUUUACAGGCUCACUGGCAGUUUCAGAGUGACAAGAGGAUAAAUGAUGCUGAUCUUUCUCCAUACAAUGACACCUUAGAGGGCCUGAGAGAAAGUUACAGUCAAAUCCACAUGCAUUCAGGUUCGAGUGUGUCAGUGAUGAAGGUGAAUCCCAGCUAAUGCCAACAAGAAUGCUGCUUCCACUUGAGAAAAGCAAAUUGCUCUUCUGGAUAGAACUGGAGACUCCAAAAUGCCAUUCCUGAGCUCCAAGAUGACAGGUGGAGAAAAGAACAGCAGUGCAGGCACAGUGGUGGAUUCCAGCAGCCCUGAGAGGACACGGUGGAGAGAGGAAGGAGAAGGGGGCAAUCUGACUAUCGUCAGUAGAGAUCCACAAACACUCUUCUACGGCUUGCUCUGGAGCAAGCGUUCUGUGCAGGCACGAAUUGGGUGCCCCCAGAGUGACCUGAGCUCUUCAGGAGGCCACCAAGGGUGGAAGAGGGAGUAAAGGCCAAAUUAGUGGCCACUUUUAGCAGUGAGACUUUGCAGCCCAGAUGAGGGGCAGUGCCGGAUGAGCCAUCUGAACCUGUUGCACCCACAAGGUACCUGUCUCUGUGGAGGUCUUGCCUCACUUUCCUGCUCAAUUUAAAGCCAGUCUAGUUAUCCAUCCCUGCAUGGGGCCUCAGAUCACAAUCUCUUUCUGAGUCGUUCCUUCCACGGUCAGGCGUGUUCGUGGCCCAUAGCACUGCCAGGCCAGCAAGUUUAUACAUACACAUCCUGAGAUGUGCUGCUGCUUAAACAAGGUUAGCCAGAGCCUCGUUACUAAGAUUUACACUGUCAGUUACAGAGAUGCCCAUCCAAUCCUGUAACACAUAAAUUUAUGGGCAUCACAGAGAAUUUUUUAUUGUUAGAGCUCAUAUACAAUGUGUGCCCUUAGUGACACAUUUUUAAAUAAAAUAUAUUGUACUAGUGAUUUCUAAUGCUUAAAAUAAAAUAAAAUAAUAAUCAACUUUUAGCUACAGUUUCCCCCUGGUUACUGAGCUGAACUUAAUGACUGGCUGAAAAGUAUUUGUCAACACAACAGCUGGAGAGCAACACUUUCUUGUGGCUUUAUGUCACAGCAUAUGCCAGCCACUCAGAACAUGCGAUAAUUCAACUGGAGCUGGUACUACAAUAGCAGAUGGGUUGAAGCAUUGUUAUUCUCACUCUAGCUCCCAGCCCUUGAGGGAUCACUAAAUAAAAUCAAAGCAGAUGGACCAUUACAAGCUCAUUUGUGUUCACUACAAGCACCUCAACCUCCAGUUGUGAUAUACUGCACCUUUGUAUAAAAUGACAUGUAUGGUAACAUGGCCUAAUGAAAAUAGCAUCAGACUUGGCAAGUGAGGAAUGAGACUGGGAAAUAUGCACAGAUCUAUUUAUCACUGAGUUCUUACCUUGUAGAAAGGGUCCAAUUCUGUCCCUCUCUCCCCACCCCCCCCGCCCCCAAUGUUUAGCGUAGUACUUUUCUCCAUGUUUAUAAUUUAAUUUCCUCACACUUGUCACAAGAACUAAGAGGCGGCUGCUGGUUCUGGCUGUAGGAGCCAAGCAGGGCUCCCAGUCUGUGCAAAGACAAGAUGAAUGCUACUAACCAAGAGUGCAAAACUCAUUCCUGCACACCCCUGAUGAGUAUGCUAAUCCAGGUGGCCCGCAGGGGUCAAAGCUUUAGCACCUACUGGUACCUUUUUGCACCUGCAGGGACCAGGGCACCGUGUACAUUUCUCAGCCUGCUCUUGCCAUGAGGUGUUCCACAACUCUGCACUUUUGAGUUUAUGGGGGACUUGGGGCAUAGAAUCAACUGCUCCACUAAAUUCCAACAUUUUUGUCUGUGAGAUCCCAGUCAGCACUUCUGAGCGAAUUCCCAGGGCAUGGGAAGCACUUGCUUCCCCAGGAUGAAAGAUAUUUAAACUGUCAGUUUCCAGAGGAGGAUCCUUUGGGGUCUGCUGACAAAGUCAGAGUUUAAACUGAAAAAUUCUUCUUGCUAUCCUCAGCAGCCCAACAUAAAAUCAAAGGCACAUCCAGUGCCUGCUUAAAAAAUAUCUUCUGAGCACCUUGUACAGCAAUGCACCAACGAUGUCACCUGAAGGCUUUGUCCUACGGUUCCCACCCUGACCAUCCUGCUCCAGGGAGCUCCAGCAAGAUGAAAUACAGCAGGAAAGGUCUUGCUUCCCUUUAUGACAACUGUGCUUCUCAACCACACAGACACAAACACACAAACACACACACGUGUGUGUGCAGUUAGUGACAACUCCCAAACUGAACUCCUCUCAAAUGUGAGCUUUUUAUAUUUGUAUGUAUCUUUUCUUUCUGCCCAGUUUUAAACAGCUUCUGUGCCCUACUGCACAAACAGCUUCAUUCAGUGCUAAAUAGAAUAUACUGUGAACUUAUUCAAGGCUUUGAGAGUUCUAAUUUUUCCUGUAUAAACAGGAAAAGUGGGAGUACACAGUGUUUGGGGAGAGUUAAAUACUUUUGUUUCUGUCUGCAGGCAAGACCCAUAUAAGACUAUGAGCUUUUAAUAAAUCUCCAUGGGUCACCUGACUGCCACAGGUCCCCUCAUCCAGCUCCUGCUGGGCUUUAAAGAGCCAGAGAGGUCCAGCAGUGGAAAGCCAAAGAAAUCACUUCACUGGGGUUGAUAAAUACAGUUAAACUUCAGUGACUGCAAUAUGCAGUUGAAAAACUUGUCCAGCUUUUUCUGUGAAACAACCUCUUCCUGAAUGUCUGAAUUGUAUAAAAUGAUGAAUGGAUCAGAUAGUGUUUCUCACCUUACCCAGAAACUGCAGGGCAGCUGGACAGUGUCAAGGACAGUGCUUCCAGGGAGCAUACUGCGUGCAGCUCGUGGCCAUGUCCUGCUUUGUUUGCUCUUCCUGAGCACUUUCUGCUCAGUGUAGUGACUCAUCCAGAACUGCAAAUCAGUGAAACUCCGUCAGAGGCAUGUGCAGGUCAGGUCAGGCAUCAGCAGUGCCCCUUAUCUGCUGGCCAGCUUUCCUAUCAGCCAAACUAAUUUGCUAAGAUAAUUCUGUUUUCUGCCACCUAUUACAAUAAAUCAACCACUGUAGCUUCAUUGAAUUCUCUGCCAACUGCUGCCCUUGAAAUUCUCAGACUGUAUGGGGGGCUGGGAGGGAAAUCUGUACUCUUCUAAAUAUAAGAAAGUUUUAGAUAAACAACUUGAUAUUCUGGGCAAUGCUGUACUUCCUCAGCCCCACAUUAAUGGUGUGCCAGAGUCAGCAUAGACUGAGGCAAACCCCAAUGCAUCAAUCAUUCCUUUGAAAACAAGUUUUUUGAAUAAUCUGAUCUCGGGUGGUAAAGCACAAACACGGCAAGUGGCACAGAGAGACAGAGAACACGAGCACACAUUCAGGAAAGAGCCAGAGGAAAAUGACUAGGGAUUCACCAUUGAAGAAAGAAGUAAAGGUGUUUCAAUGAAACGGUAAGUCUCUGACAAUUAAUUUUGAAGAGAAAAAAAAUAUUGAGGAUAGGUGGGAAUUGAAGGAACAUGAAGCAUCCCCAAGCAUGCCUAUUACAGCAACAAGACUUCAGGGGGAAAACUGUAUUCUGCUUUUCCUUAUAGCAAUAUCAAAUACUGAG